UCUCAGGUUGUCUGGCUUGGUGACAAGCACCAUUACCCUCUGAAGCAUCUUGUCAGCCAUGCUUUGCCCUUCUUUGUCUUACUGUCUCUUUCCCGCUGGAACUUGAGUCUUAGGCAAAAGUGACUCUUGUCUCAUUGUUAGUGAGGGUUGGGUGCAGUUUUCAAGACUUAAUUCUAUCUGGCUCCUUUGCAUAGUACAUUCUUCUCUGUUAUUUAUAUAUUAGAAAUAAGGAGUUACAAUUUCAUUCUGGGGACCUUCACAAUUCAGAGCUAUUGAAGAUAACUAAGAGGUUAUCUAAUCAGUGCCAAACUUACGAAGAUAAUCUGUUAGGAUUUGCAUCUUGACUGUCCACCGAAGCUCGUGUGUCGCAGGUAUUUUUUCACAGCAAGGAAAAGCUAACAUCCUCAGCCCAGAAGAGAUUCAGAGAGUUAGUGGCUGGAGACACGUUGCUGAAUUAGGAGAAGAAACAGCUCAAGUGAAAACUGUACUUGUUACCUCAACACACAUGACAAGUUUUAAAUAUUAGAGAUGACAUUGACAAAGUUAAACUACGCAAUAAAUAGCACUGUAUAUCGG